UGAAGGCAAAGCAUCUGGAAGGCUGGCUGGACCAGCAUGGUAGAGUUGAGCUUAGUUCGGUGUGUAUGUGUUGCGCUCUUUAACCGAGUUGUAAAAGCAAUCAGAGCAGAAACUGGCUACUCUUUAGUUGACUGAUGUACCUGGCAAGGAUCAGACGGUGACAGGGAUCUCAGCAGGGUCAGGUAGCCAGGGAAGUCUAUGACAGAAGAUGAUAAAUAUACCCGCUGCAGUUUGGUCCACUCCAUACGACGACCGUUACAGAACCACCCACCAACGAAGGACCAAGCAGCGGAGGAAGGAGCAGCAGGGUAAAGAGGACUGGACAUGGGAGGACAUCCUGGACGGCAAGGGAUCCUACACUUGGGAAGAGAUCCUGGCCGGAAGGGAUCGCCUCCCAUGGGAACAGGUGGAGGCACUCAGAAGAGCGGAGGCAGCAGGAGAAAAGGACCAACGACGAAGGUAUGAGGGAACACGGCUGGCAAGGAAGCCUGAAAGGCAGCCCCAAAAACAUUUUGGGGGGGGGCACACGGGUAGUUUGGCUGGGCCAAGGGUUAGUCCUGAGCCAACUCCCCGUGCUUAUUAUGGGGAGCGAUGGAUCAAGCAAGCACCAUGUUAUGCGGAGAUACACACGGUAUCGCCAGUGCGCAGCUACAGUCCGGUGCGCUUGAUGAAAGCUCCUCACAGGGGUCAUGUUAGAGCCAGCAUCGAGCCAGGACCGGUGAUGCAAGUAGCAAGCAUCAGACCGCCGGUGAGGGUUCAUGGCCCAGUGUAUCCUGUUCCUGCUCCGCGCACUGGCCCUGAGGUGCGUGUUACUAGGCUGGUGCCUCCUAAACCAGCCCCACGCAUCAGGCCUCUAGGGCGCCUGCCCAGUCCAGUACGUCAUGUUCCUGCUCCUCGCACUAGCCCUGAGGUGCAUGUCCAUAGUCUGGCGCCUCCAAAGCCAGCCCCACGCACCAGACCUUUAGUGCGCCUGCCCAGUCCAGUACGUCCUGUUCCUGCUCCUCGCACUAGCCUUGAGGUGCGUGUCACUAGUCUGGCGCCUCCAAAGCCCCACGCAUCAGGCCUUCAGUGCGCAGUCCCCGUCCAGAGCUUCCGGCGACAGGUGUGUGCCUUUCCAAAUCAUGUCCAAUCAAUUGAAUUUACCACAGGUGGACUCCAAUGAAGGAUUAUCAAUGGAAACAGGAUGCACCUGAGCUCAAUUUCGAGUCUCAUAGCAAAG
rnacentral:lncRNA from 1 species